UGGGGGAUGGUGCAACGGUAGCACGCCUGGCUCUGGACCAGGUAAUCAAGGUUCGAGUCCUUGUCCCCCAG
rnacentral:tRNA from 1 species